UCCACUCUCCUCUCUCUGUCUCCGAAACGCACGGACGCUCUCAAUCCGCUGCCGUCCCCCUGCCGCCGCUAGAGUCUGCUGCGAAGCUUGCCGCGACCGCUCCCUCUCCUCCGACCCGGCCAUGGCCCUUCCAGCGCAUCUCGAGCUUGCACUCGGCUCGCAUCACCCAUCAGCAUAGAUCGAGGUCGCCCCUUGCUGUGUCCCCUCCGCUUCUGCCGCUUGAGCUCGCGAGUCGGAGCUCCAUUUGCUUGUGCAGGAGGAGAUCCACCGCUGCUCCAAGGCCUCCUGCUUUCCAUCCUCCUCCUCGUUGCUCACACCAGCAUCCGCUGUUGCGUUGUAUAUCGCCAAGCUUGCUCCAACGCUCCGGUAAGCAGGGAUGUCGUGGGCCCGUGGAACUGGGAUCCUAGAGUCGCCGUGCUCGCGGUGGCUGUCUGCAGGACGCAGGGUGGGGUGGUGCUUAGGAUACAGAAGCCGGUGGAGCGCUUUGUGGGCGGCCGCAUGAUUCUGGAGGUGAUGGCGCUGAUGGAGGGCCUCGACGCCUCCAUGGGGUUGGGCAUCCACAGUGUCACUGCUGUCACUGGUUCCGCCUGCUCUACAACCAUGUGGACAUAAGGGUUACCCCUGGAUCACAUGCAACUGAAGCUGCUGUAAAUAAGGAACUGAACGACAAAGAACGUGUUGCGGCUGCAUUGGAAAACUCAAACCUACUGGACAUGGUUGAAGAGUGCUUAUCAACAACAUUUGAAUGUUGAGGCCUGAAUACUAUAUCUGGGUGUCACAACGAUGA